rnacentral:lncRNA from 1 species
GAAAAUCCCAGAGCGGUUGCCGUCUGGCACAUUUCCAGGCGUCGACGCUGUUUGCCCGAUCAAUAUGGCACAUAGAUUCAGCUCACCAUUACCACAAAGGUCUUUCCCAAACAUUAAUAACUAUAAUUUCAACAAGAGACAAGACGCAACAAGUCAUCCGAGGCCACGCGCGACAGAGGGCCGGUACUCAGGGUACAUAUUCUCGGACUCCUAAUCGGUUUCCGGCCGGGCGAUAAUGCCGCAUCGACCGUACACAUGUAAGUGUUGUCACAGCACCGCAGGAGUCGACACAGCGAAAACACGUGUACACGAUGUAUGCCUUAGCCUACGCCCUCCUUAACCUCCGCGAGAUGCGAUUGUUACAGUGGACCCCGAACGGGUCGAGUGCAGCGCCCAUAGGAACGCCUCCCGCACAACACUGUGGGCCUUAUUCAAAAAGAACUCGGCCAGGCCGUACUAACUUCACUGGACACACGGCCUCAGUUAGUACGCUUAAACAAAAAAUUGAGGCUCCGACGUGCGCCCUCAAACUUCGUCAUUGUACAUCGGUAAACGGCAAGCAACCAUGUCUGCGUCAUUGACAUAUAAGAAAGGGUGAUUGUGAGGUACAUGAUCCCAAUGUUUUGGCAAGUAAUCCCGUGCCGCAAAAGCAGUUAAACGGGCCCAAAAGUCAGAGAUAACCUCGUAUGUAAUGCGGUUAAGCGAUGGCGUUGAUAUAGGCAUGUUGGUCUGGAGACCUUCCUUAAACAACAAACGGCGACCGAGAUUGAGUGAGCUGAUGGCCGCGAGGCAUACAACCUCCCAUACACACGAACAAAUCCAGGUUGGUGGAAUGCCCAACCACAGGUUAGCCCGGUUGAAAAGGUCAGGGAACUCAAGUUCGUUUUGCAGAGCUUCACGAAGAGCCAACGCGACAGUACAAUCCCAGAAAUGAUGCCGACGAUCCCCACAAAGCAUGCGUACACCACAGGGGCACAUAGCAGCCGGGAUACCUCUUUGACGUUGCGCCCUAUGCAUAGGAAAGGCAGGGAAACCAUCAAGAGCCAGCCUCCAAAAGGCUUCUUUAUGCUCGUUAUCCCACCGAAGUCUCCACAUGCGCGACAAAGUACGACGGAAUUCCAACAAAGUAUUGGCCAAGUUCUCCGGCGAUAAG